CUAGACAGAGACAGCAGCUCAGCAGUACAUGUAGAUAGGCCAAGUAGAGAUAGAAGUGCACUGAGUAGAACAAUAGAAUACACUGGACGAAAUGACCACCACAUAGGACGUAGUGACCACCGCACUGGACAUAGUGACCCUCACACUUUAGACAAAUCCUAUUGGAUUAAUAGAGUAGGAGAGCUUUCACUGCAGCUACAGCAGAGCAGUGAGUACUGGUCAGACAAAGUGCGAGAACUUACCUCACGCCAAGAUCUCUCCCAUACUGAGGCUCCGGCUCCAAGGUAGCAGAACUUCUAGAACAUGCAGAAGACAACAGCCAAAGGAAGGGAAGUGCAGCACAGAAGAACACGCCCCUGUUCCAAAGCCAUGUUGAAGUUGCAAAUGUUCUUAAGAUCGAGGCUUCACAUUUCCUGUCAUAUAUGCAGGUCAAGCAAUGAGCAGGAGUCGCAACUUUGCUGCACAUGUGCCACCAUUUCACAAUACUCACCAUCUCAGGGAUCUUUGUUCAGAGACCGAGGGAUCUGGGUCUCAGGAGACUGCUCAGUUUUUUGUAAUAUCUGGACAGAGUUUCUCAAGAUCUCAGAGCUCUUGGAAUUCAGCUGAUACUCAAGAUCAUCCGUGUUAUUCUAGGUAGCAACUACGCCAUCUAUCUCCAAUCAGUCACCAUAGGGCACUUAGCACAGCCACACUGACUGCAGAAAACACUGUGUUACAUGCAAUAAUAUAGCAGUUUUUUUUUUUUUUUAUUAUGUGACACUAUUGUCAAAAGCAGACUAAUAUUUAGCCAUAGUUUGAAGGUUUUCAGUCAUAUACUGUCUACUAGCUUGAAUGGGAACACAUUUGAUGAGGUUGACUUGAAGGAAGGACUUCUGAGACCAAACAGGUCUAUCUUUAAUUCAGUAUUUGAGGCUCAAACUGCACUCAAUAUUGAUUUUGUUUUCAUGUGCAGAAGGUCAUUCAUAAAAUCCUCGCGUUAUUUCAGCCAGCCAGUGGAAGGUGUAAUAUCGAUUCCUAAAUUUAUACAGCAUUUUUUUACAAAAUUUGUCAUUGUCAUUGGAAGUUUGCUCAAGACAUGUUCUGUCAAUUCUCAUUGAGGUAUUUCAUGGACAUUAGAUUUACAGACUUUCUUUUCUAUUCAUUCUAUACUGGGCUGCUCUGAUCUGCAAUGAUACUGAAGUAUUCAUGUGUACAUAUCACUAGUAUUGUGUAGGAAUGUUCAUCAAGGCAAAAAGAAUUUCAUAUUUCAUUUUUGUGCUCGUGGAGGCAAAUUAGUAUUUAUGAAAGAAUACAACCAGCAGGAUCUUGGAAGAGUGAUGCAUUUUGGUAAAGAGAACUCAUUUGGAAUGUUGUUAAUUAAGCAAUAUUUGUAAUUAUAGAAAUUUUACAAGAUGUCAUUUGUAAAUAGAGCACUAAUUCCCCCGUCAUUCCAGGAUGUAAGUAUAAUACAGGUAUUCAGGCUGAUGUUGACCACUGCGAAUAGGUUUCCUUGUGUUGUCCAGCACUUCGUGAUGGUGCCCCUUGACCGCAUUCAAGUUUGUGAUCACCCUCAUUAUUUAUGGUUAUGACUCGGAUCUUUUAAAUGGGGAGAAAUGUCCAUCUUCCAGGUGCAUUAUUUUGGAAUGGAAAUAUAUUUCUUUAUUGCACUUGUGGUGCUUUUUCUGUGUAGAAUAGAACGAUAAGGUAGCCUGGUUUUCAAUUCUGAUGCUACCUCUCAAUAGAAAUGUUCUAAUUUUAGGAAUUUUGAUUUAAACAAAAUAUAUCAUCUGUAAAAAAAAUCACAUUUUUCUCAUUGAAAAGAUUUAGCCAUUGCCUUACUUUUACAUCAAAUUCAGAUAUAUUAUUCCAUCUUUAUUUCAACCUAUCAUUGUUUUUUUCUUCUUCUUCUUGUGUGAUGUUAGUGUUUUUGUUUAUUAUUUUAAAAUUUAUUAAUGUGAAGAUAAGUACAUACCCAGAAGAGUAAG